rnacentral:rRNA from 1 species
UGGGGAAUAUUGGACAAUGGGCGAAAGCCUGAUCCAGCCAUGCCGCGUGUGUGAAGAAGGUCUUCGGAUUGUAAAGCACUUUAAGUUGGGAGGAAGGGUUGUAGAUUAAUACUCUGCAAUUUUGACGUUACCGACAGAAUAAGCACCGGCUAACUCUGUGCCAGCAGCCGCGGUAAUACAGAGGGUGCAAGCGUUAAUCGGAAUUACUGGGCGUAAAGCGCGCGUAGGUGGUUAGUUAAGUUGGAUGUGAAAUCCCCGGGCUCAACCUGGGAACUGCAUUCAAAACUGACAAGCUAGAGUAUGGUAGAGGGUGGUGGAAUUUCCUGUGUAGCGGUGAAAUGCGUAGAUAUAGGAAGGAACACCAGUGGCGAAGGCGACCACCUGGACUGAUACUGACACUGAGGUGCGAAAGCGUGGGGAGCAAACAGGAUUAGAUACCCCAGUAGUCCCUGAGCGGGCUGGCAAGGCGCAU